ACUAGUCGUCAUUUCGGGAUUUAAAGAGUGCAUUGCAACCCCUAAGUCUAAAAAAACAAGACUUUCAAAAGUUUCAAAAUCUUGGCACCAAACACCAACUUAGUCCAGUCUCACCACCAAACAUGGCUUGCUUGAACAGCAACUAAAUUCAAUAAUUUCUUGCACCUAUAUUUUGACACUAGUCCUCAUUUGGGGAUUUAAAGAGUGCAUUGUA
rnacentral:lncRNA from 1 species